rnacentral:rRNA from 1 species
GACGAACGCUGGCGGCGUGCUUAACACAUGCAAGUCGAGCGGUAAGGCCCUUUCGGGGGUACACGAGCGGCGAACGGGUGAGUAACACGUGGGUGACCUGCCCUUAGCUCUGGGAUAAGCCUGGGAAACUGGGUCUAAUACCGGAUAUGACUCCAUGACGCAUGUUGUGGGGUGGAAAGCCUUGUGCGGCUAGGGAUGGGCCCGCGGCCUAUCAGCUUGUUGGUGGGGUGAUGGCCUACCAAGGCGACGACGGGUAGCCGGCCUGAGAGGGCGACCGGCCACACUGGGACUGAGACACGGCCCAGACUCCUACGGGAGGCAGCAGUGGGGAAUCUUGCGCAAUGGGCGAAAGCCUGACGCAGCGACGCCGCGUGAGGGAUGACGGCCUCGGUUGUAAC